GAAGGUUUCAGUUCUAUGGCGUGGAACACAGAAUGUGCUUAUACCUGAGAAAAAACAGCCCAGUGCCCACUGCCUCUUCUUUAAAUAUAUGCAUCCCCCACUUCCACCCCCACUCCUCUCUCUCUCUCACACACACAGAGGUACAGAGGUACUAGACUUGGAACCUGACCUGCUGACCGGACGUGUGCCCAUUCCGAGGAAGUCUUAGGCAAACCCUUUCCAACCCCCGGAGAUUCAUCUCUUGCCCCCUCCUUCCCCCCUGUACUCACAGGAAACAGCUGCUCCCUGGAAUCCUGGGUCUUGUGAUCAGGCUGCCUGGCCCCAGCUGCUGCCACCCAUGCCCUCUGCCUCAGCCCUCAAACUGAGGGCCUCGAGCUUCCAGCUCCCUCUGGCUGAACUUCCCCUGGGAUUUGGUGGUGGGAAAAGGAUGGUGGCUGGACUGCAGGCUAGCAGCAAGAACUCCUUGAAUGUGUGCAGGAUUUCCUCCCCUGCUUCACCUCAGCCACUUUUAUCACCUUUUCUUCCCUCCCCCAGAUGUCCCUGGAUGUGCAUCAAUGUAUCUUCACCCAGAGGGCUUCUCUGCACCCUCUUCAGGUGAUGGAGUGAUGGGUUAUGGCUAUGAGAAAUCUCUUCGACCAUUCCCAGAUGAUGUCUGCAUUGUCCCUGAGAAAUUCGAAGGAGACAUCAAACAGGAAGGGGUUGGAGCUUUCCGGGAGGGGCCACCCUACCAGCGCCGGGGUGCCUUACAACUGUGGCAGUUUCUGGUGGCCCUGCUGGAUGACCCAACGAAUGCUCACUUCAU
rnacentral:lncRNA from 1 species